UAAGAGUGCAGAUAGAGAUAUGCUGUAUACCUGCAUAACUGAAUUAACGUUUAAGCGACAUGUAAUGUCGUCGGCCGCAGGGACCGCCAUGAGGCGGUUUUCGUAUUUUU
rnacentral:sRNA from 1 species